GAUGAACGCUGGCGGCGUGCCUAAUACAUGCAAGUCGAACGCUGAAGGAGGAGCUUGCUCUUCUGGAUGAGUUGCGAACGGGUGAGUAACGCGUAGGUAACCUGCCUGGUAGCGGGGGAUAACUAUUGGAAACGAUAGCUAAUACCGCAUGACAACAGCUACUGCAUGAUAACUGUUUAAAAGGGGCAACUGCUCCAGUACGAGAUGGACCUGCGUUGUAUUAGCUAGUUGGUGGGGUAGGGGCUCACAAAGGCGACGAUACAUAGCCGACCUGAGAGGGUGACCGGCGAAAUAGGGACUGGGAAACGGGCGAGAGGGGAACGGGAGGCAGCAGUGGGGGAUAGUGGAACAUGGGCGGAAGCCGGAAGCAGCAAUGACGCGUGCGGGAUGACGGCCUUCGGGUUGUAAACCGCUUUCGCCUGUGACGAAGCGUGAGUGACGGUAAUGGGUAAAGAAGCAACGGCUAACUACGUG
rnacentral:rRNA from 1 species